AUCGUUUUGGCAGAGUAGUGUAUUGAAUUUAGAAUUCAAAUAAGUAAAAAAUUUUACAUACGAUA
rnacentral:tRNA from 1 species